AUUGAACGCUAGCGGGAUGCCUUACACAUGCAAGUCGCACGGAGUGGCGAACGGGUGAGUAAUGUCUCGGAACGUGCCCAGUAGCGGGGGAUAACUACGCGAAAGCGUAGCUAAUACCGCAUACUAUUGGAGCGGCCGAUAUCGCGUUAGCUAGUUGGUGGGGUAACGGCUCACAAAGGCGACGAUCCGUACCUGGUUUGAGAGGAAUACCAGCCACACUGGGACUGGGACCCGGCCCAGACUCCUACGGGAGGCAGCAGUGGGGAAUUUUGGACAAUGGGGUAAACCCUGAUCCAGCCAUCCCGCGUGUGCGAUGAAGGCCUUCGGGUUGUAAAGCACUUUUGGCAGGAAAGCGGUACCUGCAGAAUAAGCACCGGCUAACUACGUGCCAGCAGCCGCGGUAAUUC
rnacentral:rRNA from 1 species